ACUUGAUUUUUAAAAAAAUACAAUGUCUGAAUAAUUUCCUUUAAUGAAAUAAAACUUUCAACAACGGAUCUCUAGGCUCUUGCAUCGAUGAAGAACGCAGUGAAAUGCGAUAAGUAAUGUGAAUUGCAGAAUCUCGUGAAUCAUCGAAUCUUUGAACGCACAUUGCGCCCUUUGGUAUUCCAUAGUGCAUGCCUGUCUGAGCGACAGCUCCCCCUCACUCAAGUAUC
rnacentral:rRNA from 1 species